GCCGAUGUAGCUCAGCUGGUAGAGCAGCUGAUUCGUAAUCAGCAGGUCAGCGGUUCGAUCCCGCUCAUCGGCUCCA
rnacentral:tRNA from 1 species